rnacentral:tRNA from 1 species
UACGGCACUCCUCUUCACGUUUUUCGAAAAUCUCAUAUCCCCGGGCGGCCUCUUCAAACGGCAUAUAGUGGGUAA